rnacentral:rRNA from 1 species
AAAGAUAGUUAAACAUAUAUAUAUAUAUAAGUUUAUUAAAUAUUUAUAUAGAGGUAGAAUUCGAAUACAAAUAUUUAAUUUUUUAGUAACUAGAUUAGUUGAAUCUAUGACAACUUUGAGGGAAACUGGGAUUAGAUACCCCACUAUUCUUAAUUUUAAAUUAAGUAUAUUUACCGGAGUACUAUGAAUUCAAGAAUUUAAAACUCAAAGGGCUUGGCGGUGUUUUAGACCUUUUAGGGGAACCUGUCCCAUAAUCGACAAUCCACGUCAGACCUAGCCCCCCUUAGUAACACAGUUUGUAUACCGUCGUCGUCAGGUAACUUUCAAGAAAGUAAUAGUUAGCAAUAAAAAUUAUGCUAAAUUAGGACGUCAGAUCAGGGUGCAGCCUAUAAGGAGGUGAGGAUGGGUUACAAUUAUAAAUUUAUAAAAACGGAUAAUAAAAUGAAAUUUUGUGAGUGAAGGAGGACUUAAAAGUAAAAUGAAUUAUAUAAAUAAUUUGAAUAUGGCUCUGGAGCGUGUACAAACCGCCCGUCGCUCUCCANGAAAAAUGAGAUAAGUCGUAACAUAGCAGGGGUAAUGGAAAUUGCCCCUAGAUG